rnacentral:rRNA from 1 species
CAGCCGCCGCGGUAAUACGGAGGGUGCAAGCGUUAUCCGGAUUCACUGGGUUUAAAGGGUGCGUAGGCGGGUUUGUAAGUCAGUGGUGAAAUCCCGAAGCUUAACUUCGGAACUGCCGUUGAUACUACAGGUCUUGAAUACUCGGGAGGUGAGCGGAAUAUGUCAUGUAGCGGUGAAAUGCUUAGAUAUGACAUAGAACACCGAUUGCGAAGGCAGCUCACUACAGAGUCAUUGACGCUGAGGCACGAAAGCGUGGGGAUCAAACAGGAUUAGAUACCCUGGUAGUCCACGCCCUAAACUAUGGAUACUCGACGUGUGCGAUAUGACAGCAUGCGUCUGAGCGAAAGCAUUAAGUAUCCCACCUGGGAAGUACGACCGCAAGGUUGAAACUUAAAGGAAUUGGCGGG